rnacentral:miRNA from 7 species
CCACGAAUGCUUGAGCAUGUGCU